CCUGACUUCAACAACAAUCACAUUUGACCUCCAAUGAGGCAGGGAAACAGGCGGUAUGCACCAGCUCUACAAUCCCUGCCAGGGGAAAGAUAUUGCCGAUACAGGCGUCAGUUGGGAAAACGCCAUCCGACGGAGGAUGGACAUCAUGAAGUGCCGACGCCACAUUGCCGAUUGCCGUCGGUUCCUCCAUAGGCUACGUGAGCAAACGUUGCCCCUGCCCCUGAGCCGCUCUUCCCCGGGUCUUUAACCAACAUCGGCUUGGUGUUCUGUCAUCAACGAAUAGUGGGUUGCGAAGCACGCUGUCGAUUUAAUCUUGUGGUGAUUAUCACUAGUGCUCUUGAUGAUGCCAAUCGCCCUGCCGAGGCGGAAGGGCAGUGCGGAAAUGCUGUCCUCGGCAUGACGCAGUGGCCGACGAAUGAUAACGUGUAUGUUUUUUACUCACGACAGGAUCCGCAUCUCUCCGUUUAUCAUCUAAGGACCACGCCUCCUAGGUCCAGUGUGUAUAGUUUGCAUAGGACCAUAGAUGUUCACAAAUACGACGUUCUAAUCGAGUCCACUGGUAGUUUGUGGAGCCACAAUGCACGACGUAAGCUCUCUUCUCCACCAUAAUGGAGGCACCGCACAACAUGACAACACGUUUAUUGGUUGCUUGCAGAGAAAGCGCACUUGCCCCCUGCAGUAGUGCCACAAAAUAUUUCGCUUCGAAUACCUCACUGCUCUUUCCCAUCUCAGACGCUUCUCCCUCUCCACUCGCUACAUCCGUGCACACGUUCACGUGCACAAAACAAGAAGCAAAGUCUAUGGCAUACAGCUCUUCUUUUAUUCACAUACGCAUGUAUCUCUGUAUAUUUGCUUAAUGAUCUACAUACGCAUGUACCUCGGUAUUUUUUAUGCAUUAUUCGCAUACACGUGUCUCUCUGUAUAUCAUCUGUACUAUUCAUAUAUGGAUCGGCCUCUGUAUUUAUUCUGCAGUUUCUACAUAAAAUACACCGAUCUACACAGUGUGUGUAGACAUAUGCAGACCGAAACAAGCAUAGAGGUAAUUGUCCAUAUGUCAUUCUUUGCACGAAUGCGAAUACCUGAGAUAGCUCCACGCUCAACUUCCCAAGGGAGGUAAAAAGACCCCGUCGAUGUUUGCGUUGCCGCCAUUGUGUGGAAGUUGGACACCGCUUGGCGGCCUUCCUUCUUCACUCGUUUUUCCAAUAUUGAGUUCUAUGCCCAGAUCCACGUGAAGCUCUCUUGUGACGCGCCUGCGCCCGUUGCUCUCUCACUGCAGCUCGUAUGCGAAAGAUGACAGAAGCCGGCACUCCAGAUGUUUGAAUCUUUGAAUCUCUUGAGUAACAGCGACCCGUACAACCCCAAACCUUUACAUCGCAAAGGGACACCAGACAAACGUUUCCCUGAGUCAUUCUCUGUGCUGAGAACCCGGAAAAAC
rnacentral:lncRNA from 1 species